CGCUGCUGCAGCUCACAGUUAACCCUUGCUGGGACUUUGCUGAGGGGGGGGGGUCAGGAAGCAGAGCAGCGCCCACUAGUUCCCUGAUGUAGGGACAGCGCUGCGGCUGGCAUUUCAUUCAUUCCCUGAUGUGGGGCGAGAAGCUGACAGUGAGGGUGGGUUGAGUAUACUAAUGAGCAGGGCGGGAAAAGGGAGUGCUAGAGAGGGGGAAAAAAAGAUGCCCGGCUGGGUAGGCCACUGAAAGAGGAGACAGGCUACGAGGCAUGCUGGGAGCUGUAGUUUCUAAAACAAAGGCAAAACUCAAAUAGAUGCUACACUACACGGACACACUUGCACAAAGAAAGGAAAGGAAAGACAAAGAGCAAGCACCAGACCAGAGAUAACAAGAAAACUCACCUGCAUGGGUUUUCCUUUCCUCCUUACCCUAUCCCAUUCUCUGACUCCUUUUUCCUUUCUUUUGAUCAGACCACUUAUAGAUAGCACGGUAUAUAAGGACCAUAUUAACCCCCAGAAUGCAGCUACUGAAGAAAGGAGGAGCCUCCUGAAACGCGUCUAGCAGUUCAGUUCAUUGCAUCCCCCAUGAUGAUUUACUAAGGGACCUUCUCUACAGAGCUUAGUGCAUACAAGAACAUUAUCACUAUUGCAUUGGACACAGCAACCACCAGAGAUCUCUGUGCAAGUGAUCAGCAUUUGACAAAAAAGAUGCCUGACGAAAAAGCCGGAAUGGCUUUGAAACGCGUUGCGUGGAUCCUUUGUGUGCAAUAAGUUUACCCAUAUAUACUUCUUGUGGCAGCGCGAUUCAUCUCCCUUUUCUUGGAUCUCCUUUUAUCUACAUUUGCGCCUGGACGCUGGGAGCCACAGCAGCCGCGAUUACAGGAUUCCUGAUCAAGCGCAUUGAGUGUUGUGCCUCCAUUCGCACAACUUGCAUAGGUGGCACCUGGAAGGCCACAAAGCUACAGUCAUUCCAGUAAGUCUAAAGUAUAUGUCUGCUGUCACUACAAGUAGUCAAGUCCUGCAUAUAGUCAAGCAUCAAGAUAAAUAUCAAGUCAAGUCCAUUACAAGUAUUAUUGGUCCCAGCAAGCUGUGAGGUCUUCUGUGUUCCUGGCCACCUCUCUGUGAUUCUGGCCGAGCUGUGAAGAUAAUUACACCUGUCUUAAACUCAACAGUAAAGCCUCCGUUAAACUAUAACUGGUUGUGGACUCUCCUUUCACUACUAGCCAUUGGAAUAGCGGAGAUACCGUUCGUGUAGCUCCGGUACCAAAAUCGACUCUGGCGUCAUGAACACUAUGGGCUAAUAACAUCUUGCCCCAGGGGUUAAUACCAUCUUGCCCCACCACCUACACCGCUACACCCAGUGGUUCCGUCAUACACCGUGGGUCACCACACACACACACACAUAUACAACCAAUGCUAUAAUGAAGCUAUGCUGUAAUAACACAAACAAACUGAGAUCAAGGGUGGUGCUGUUUUUGGAAAAAAGCCACUUGAUAUUACUUGCUGUUUGGCCAUAGAGCCAUGGACAAUAAAAAAAAAAAGUGUAAAAUCUGAAAUCCUGCAGAUGAUGGUUAGCUUUGUAUUAGAUUGCACACUCCACUAUACACCACACCCUCAUGGUUUACUGUAUGGACUUGCCUAUGAAUUCCAGUCGGAGACACAACUUCAUGCAAUCACAUUCUCCAUUAUUCAGAUGGACCACCUUUAAAAAGCAGAGUACUUUGUAAUAAGUUCACAAAGAUUAUGUUGGAGAUUGUUUCAUGUAUAUAGUAUACAAGGAAAGAAGAAAAAAAAUGUUCGUUGUGGUAAAGCAGUAAAAGUUACAGAUUGCACCCCUCCCCCAUGUCUCCCUUUGGCCUUUCUGUUCCCUCCACACUUGACUUGUGUCCAGCACCUGUUGGCGUCCAUCAGACUUUCAUCUCUAUUUCUCUGUGUCUGGUAUUAGUUGUAGUCAGGGAUCAGGACACUGGUUGAGAGACGUCAUGUUAUCCUCAGAUAUUCUUCAUAUCAUAGACAGAGAUAUGCCAUAUAAAAACUGCUCUUUUUAAUUUGAUGAUGUCACCACUCUGAUCUGAUGAUGUCACCACUCUGACCUGAUGAUGUCACCACAGCAUUUUUCUGGGAAUAUCCUAAAUUAUGCAAGCAGAGAGGCAGGAAUGGGCUUUCCCUUUGUUGUGUCUUUCUAGUGAAACUAGGAGGAAAUAGUAAAUCCAGUUUGGCAGCCCUGGUUGGUCUGACCAUAUCAUUACACAAUGUCUUGUUAGAAAGCAGUUCAUUUGUGCCAUGAUGCUCAAGUUACAAUCUGGGUUAAAUAUGGAUAGAGUACAGGGUACAUAUUGGACUAGAAAACAUGCCUAUUUUUGUCCUAAAACAGCACCAUCCCUGGGCUGUGCUGGUACUGAAUAUGAUCCUUAUUUAAGUGAAUAAGGCAGAGCUGCAAUACCAAACACAACCCAUCAACAAGAGUGGCACUGUGUUUGGAAAAAAAAUUUGUUCCUUAUUUCUGUUUUCAACAAUCCCUUUAAGGGUACGUUCACAUAUACAAGAUCUGCUGCAUAUUUUGUGCAGCUAAUUUUGCUACCCAUUAACUUCAAUAAUAGCCUAAAAGGGUUAUCCAGGAUUAGAAAAAUAGAGAUGAUUUCUUAAAAGGGGUUAUCCAUCAUAAGGUGAUUUUAGUACGUACCUGGCAGACAGUAAUGGACAUGCUUAGGAAGGAUCUGCGCUUGUCUUGGGGCUAAAUGGCUAUGUUGUGAGAUUACCAUAAUGCUGUGGCUAGCUUUUUGUGAACUGGUAUUUCCCGUUUUGAGUUUUUCUUUUUUGACUACAAAUCCCAUAAUUCCAUUUUCCUCCCUCCCACACAUCAGCCACCCCACCCAUUGAAACAUAAAUGAGCUGCAUCCACUCAAAAGACCUGUGGUUUUCAAUCAGGGUGCCUACAGCUGUUGCAUUAGUUGCAGAUUGAUUUCUCUCCCACUAACAAUCCCUCCACCUAUUGAAGCAGACAGGAAUACCCCUUUAAAAAAAACCUGCACCAAACUUUUCCUCAUGUUGUAUGUGGUAUUGCAUCUCAGUUACAUUGAAAUGAUUGAAGCCAAGUUGUAAUACCACAUACAACCUGAGGAAAGGUGUGGUGCUGUUUUGGAAGAAAUUACCUCUGUUUUCUAUUCCUGGAUAACUCCUUUAAUUUGCUUGUAUAGUCAAGGCCUGCAAUUACUUCCUACUUGAAUCUCUGUUCAGACUCAUUAACUAGGACUAUCAAACUGGACUGACAGUGGUCAUCUUUUCUCUUAGCUUAAGGACCAUUCACAUGUUCUUAGGAACAUUUAUUUCCAAUAACUGGCCCAUGUAAAAGGGCCAGCCCUCAGCUGACGAACGAGCCAUCCAUCAUUUAUCGGCUGACUGGAUCCUUGUGCAGUUAUAUAAAUCGCUAUUGGUAUAGGUGUGUCCUACAGUGAUUAAUUUAAUAAGCCACAAGAAUGAGCCAGUGAUUGUUGUGAAGGCUCUGUAGACAAGUGCCAAUCCUUGAGAUCAAAUCUCAUUAACCUGUGCCUGUUGGCCUGUGUAAAAUGGCCCUUAAUGUCCCUAAUAAACAUUGGAAAUAUGUUAGCCAAGCCUGACAAAUUCGCCAGAACCUGACCAUCUAAUGUGUAAAGUGGCCUCCUGGCACCCACAUCAGACUAUGUCCA